GGUGCUAUACUUUAAUUAAAAGGUCUAAUUUGCGUUUAGGAAAUAAAUAUGUUUUUAGUGCUG
rnacentral:tRNA from 1 species